rnacentral:lncRNA from 1 species
UUUCUAUACAGGAACUAUUAUUUUAAUGUCACAUUUUGACAAUUGUAAAUGGUCUACAGAAUGUACGUGGGCAAAAGGCAAUAAGUGAGUCUUUUCAAACACUAGAUGUAUCAUAAACAGCGCAUUGUCAACAUUUACAUGAUUCACAUCAAAUUGAUGACAUCCUAAUGUAUUCCUUUUAAAGGAUAGAAAUUUUCUCAAUAAAAUAUUACAUUUCAUUUAAUACUCUGGUACAAUACUUCAUACAUUGCAGGAAAAAAAAUAAAUGCAAGGUCUACUCCACCUAAUAAGAGGAUCCUUUUUCAUUAGUCUUUAGUACUGUAAUAAAAACAAAAAUCACAAUAAUGUCAUAAAUAAACAGGCUGGAAAUUAUUCAUUAGGUUUCACUAUUUGAAAGGGAGAAAUUAAAAAAUUAAUUUGAAAUAAUGAAGUUAUGGGUAGAAAAUCAAAACCUGACAACACAUCCUAGUACCAGCUGUGAUUUUGCUCUCAUCCCUACAACAAAAAAGACAGGUUUUAUAACUUCGUUAGCUGUAUCCGAGUUAAUUGUGUUUCAAAGACAGAUCUUAAGAGGAAAAAGUAAUGUUUGGUCAGGAUUAAUAGGAGAACCAAUCAGUCCUAACAACAGUUAGCUGAAAUUAAAGUGUAUGCUAUAAAACAUUCAGUAAAUGAAGUCUGCAGCAAAUUCAUGCUGGCAUAAAUUAUUGUGCCGUAGGAGUUGGGUUAAAGUUUCCCUUGUGGUAUAAAGUCUCCACCAGAACACUUCAGAACUGCAUCCCUUUUCCACUGACACAGCAAAAGCUUGAAAUCAAUGCUUAAAAAUUUAUUCUCUAAAAACUCACUAGAAAUACACGAAACCCACAUUCACUUAUCUCCCCUGAACCAAAGGACAUUGCUCUUUCUUGCUUCAUCUGCCAUAAACCCCAACCACUGUUUAAAAUAAUUUACAAAAAUGCUUUAAGAAUCACCCCUCUCCUGCUGGUGCAUGAAAGAUUCUACUUUGCAAGGUCUCCCCUUUGGUAUCCAGCAGGGCCCAACACACCAGUUAAGAGAGGAGCAGUUAUUUACAGUCUCUCAGAUUCUGUUCCCUCCUUGACAUUCUCCCACCAUAUACUCCCCGGGAUUAAUACACAUUCUGCAGUAAGAAUUCCCUGGUUCCAAGAAAAAAAGAAAGAAGAAAACAAAAAUCCUACAGAGGCAGGUCCUAAACAGCUAAAAUGAGGUCGUUAGAGGCAACUUUAUGUUGGCCGGAUAAGCGAUUGCUGCUUCUACAGGUCAAUCUUUUAAGACACAUCACAUUAACUGAGUUCAUAACAGAGUUCAGAUUCAUUCGGGAUCCUUCUCUCAUUUCUCUUGACCUUCCCCCUGACUCUUCAGUUUGGUGCACAACACCUCCAAACCUGAACACGUUCCACCUUGCUCUGACAUAUGAAGGGCAGCAUUUGUCUAACACUGCAAAGUUUCAGACAAAUAUUUAAUUGCUGUCAAUUGCUCUAUACAAAUACCAACACUUACAACUGAUCCCUGUUCAGCAGGAGGAAGCUGAGGGACAGCAGAGGAAGCAGGUGAUGUAGAAUAGGUAUCUCACUACCUCAUGAAUAGAUUUCUCUCUCAUCAUGACUGGAAAUUUUAGAUCUAGCAAGGGCUAGCUUAUGGCUAGAGUAUAAGGCUAUGACAUUAGAACACAUAUUAUGGUAUGCUGGUGACAGGAGUUCCAAAGAAAACCCAAAGCCUCCAAAGACAAAAAGGACAAUAGGCAAAGUAACAAAAUUCUGCUUAACGUUAAAGAAGCACCUUCAUUCAGUUCAAACAAAGUGUUCCAAUAUUUGAUUUUGCAAAGCACUCUCAGGAACAGGCAAUGUAAUCUCCCACUUCACCUUUCACAAAGCUGCAUUAAUUACAUUCCAGGCUUCAGCAUCAGUUCAUUAGUAAGGCCAAUCACGCGGUUCCAUUGGCCCUGCACCCUCGCACACAGCAGUUAAAUGCAGUAUUCACCAUCUGCAUCUGCUGUAUGAAAAUGGCAAUAAUUCCUUAACACCACUUAAAUCGCAGAACUUCCCCAGAAACGUGGGGAAAAGGUGUUGGUAAGACACCACCAGCACCCACUCCCGGGGACCCAUCCUGCCAUCAACGCACACCCGCGGCUGCUCAUGGCUUCGAGGGGAGCUUCUCAUCCAGAUAAUUGGACAGAGCAAACGAAGUGAAGGAACCCAAUUAAGUGGCAGCUUAACAGCAGUUCUUGGUUCUAGAGUCUGUAGGACUGUGUCUCACUGACAACAAUCAGAAGUGGUUUCAGAUGCGCGUGAGUUUUAACCGAAUAGGGACAGCAAAGUCAAUGCAGCUCUGAAAGGCACUUCAGGUAGAGCAGUAACCAACUCCUGCCAGAUGGAAGGAUCCAGAACAAGCUUGCUGGUCCUGCUGCCUGGGCUGCCCUUUCCAACUAAGGCAAUUUCAGUGGGUGCCUUGCUUCCACACACUGCUUCCCCCCAUGGCUUUAGUUGAGCCACUCGAACAAGCAUAAGGCCUUACCAAAAACCAGAAGGCUCAAGAGCUUCCACCUCCCCAGCAGAAGGGGAAGAGGGUUACCUCACGCUAAGGUAACAGCCUGCACAGUGGGUUACUUGUUUCACUGUUUUAAAUACGCUGCCAAGGUCUCAUCAUGCAACUUUUAAAAAUACCUUAAUUCUACAAGUUCAAUCUCUUGC